ensembl:lncRNA
CAAACAUUUAGUGUCAUUCUGCCCCAGCCAUGGGCCCAGAAUCCUCAGCCACCUUACAGCAGUCCCAGCUCAGCAGGAAGUAUCCAGAGAUACCUUGACACUCCUAUUCCCAAAGAACUGGGCCUCCCAUCUCUUGAAGGGAGAAUGUUAGGUAGUUAGAAUAGGAAAAAGGAGUCCAAAAUGAUGGUGGCUAAAAGGCAGAGAAAUGGAAAAGCCCACAAAAAUGGAACAAAAGAAAAUCCAUGGACCAGAGUGAGAACUUCAGGUGAAACAAACAUGUCCCCUUCUUGGCUAGCCCAAUUUGCAUAGGGUAGGCUCAGGAGGGAGGAGACAAAUGGAUAAAACGAGGAAGCCAAGAAGGAUUGAGCCUCUCUCCCUUUGGGUUCAGCACACCCUUGUGCCUCAAUGGGGUACUAUCCUUUGCUUGCUGAAUAAAACGGAACUGUAACUGAUCUGUAACAUUGGUCCGCCAUUUCAAAUCUUUGCUGCGGUGAGACAGACUGAGGAAAUGACACACUCCCCCAACAUAUCUGGUGCCGUGAUUUGUAUUUAACCUGGUUGAAACAACCUCAGCUUGGCCCCAGUGAGGCAGAGACCAAGCACUUGGUGAAAGCAGAGACCAAGUCCAACUUGGUGAAAGCUCACAUGGUGGAAGCCAAACAUGAAGCAAACCCAGUGCAGUGGAAGUGAUGAGAAGCCCGGCAUGCUGGAAACUGGCAUAGCAAAAACAAACUUGGCAGAAAGCUCAUGCAGCUCAGUCUCAGAGUCCAGAAGACUUCUAGUUAAGGCAAACAGUGGCAGUGGGUGAAACUGAGGGACUCUGGCAGGGGCUACUCCCCAGUGUGUCUGAAAGGCUCCACUAUCUGCUGCGCCUUAGUAGCUGUUGCCCAAGUGGGUGAGGAUUCAUCUGUCCUUAACCUCCUUCAUGCCGAGGAUCAGGCCAUUGAAAACUGUGGGCAGAGGUCAGAAAUUUAGCAGUUUUUCUGGAACUUUGGACCACUGGACAAAACCCUGAGGGACUCUCAGAAGAUCCUCUGACCAAUCCUGAGGAAAUCUAGUACACUGAUGGAAGCAGAUUUGUCUUGGAUGGAAAAAGAAGAACUAGAUAUGCAGUCAUCUCCAAUUUCAAGACCAUAGAGGCUAAAUCUUUGUCACCAGGUCAACAAGCUACAACAUGUAGUGCUGGUUCAACGAGGAUAUAUAAAACCACACCCGACCAUGGAAAACAUCACUCACCCUUAGAGGGACUCUGCUAUAUGGACUCUGAGGCUUGAGACUAGCAAGAAGGGGAGGUCCAAUGCCCUUCCCAGGCCCAACACAGCAAGAAGUAGCCAGGGAUACCUCGGUGGCCUAUUCCCAAAGAUUUGGGCCUCCCAUCUCUUGAGGGGGGAAUGUUAGGUAGUUAGAAUAGGAAAAAGGAUUCCAAAAUGUUGGUGGCUAAAAGACAAAGGAAGGGAAAAUCCCAUGAAAAUGGAACAAAAGAAAGUCCGUGGACAAG